rnacentral:rRNA from 1 species
UAGGGUGGUUUUAGCGGUGGGGCUCACCUGUUCCCAUUCCGAACACAGAAGUUAAGCCCACCAGCGCCGAUGGUACUGCGAA